UAUUUAUUGAUAUGAUGUGAUGAUGCAUUUUGGUUAAUAGCUGUACUUCACAAACCCCGGCCCUGGGUAUGAACCAAUAACAUACAGUAGGCUACACAGCUACACAACUUUAAUAUUGUAGAUAGAAAUUUUGUGCUAGCUUUCGACUGUAGUGAACUAUUCCAUAUGCCACACAUUAGGCUCUUUAAGGACCGAUAGAAAUUAGUGUUCCCAAGUGUCAAGUUAUCUGAAAUUAUGCCUAUUAUGUCAUAUAGAUGACAUACACAGAUAAACACCUGUCAGUUGAAAACGCAGGUCGUACGAACUAGGCCUAUUCCUUUUGCCGCAUCAACUUAACUACCACAAACGUCUUUUGGAACAAACUUUUUCGGUAAGUCCUCUUGUUUUGAAUUUUAUUGAAAACUGUGGAUAUAUUGUAAAUUAUACCGUGCAAUUAUAUAGAAUAGCCACCAACCACAUGUUAGACGGCUACGACAACCGUGACGAUAAUGAUAAUAUUAAAUAAUGAUUAUAAAGAGACGUAGAAUUGUCAAACACCAUAACAUACUGGAAGCGGCAAUAGGCCAUCUUGGUAGAAAGGUCUCUUGUUAGAAUAAAUAAUUAUGUAUUUAUUUGGCAUUGGUAUGUGUUUAUAGUAACACAAAAAGAAUAGGCCUAUUUCCCUUUCCCACGAGAACAUGUUUCACGAACAAUCGAUCUUCAAUAUUAUGUUUGUUGUGGAAUUAUUGUAGGCUACACUAUAACAUAAUGGUGGUAUUGAUUUUUUGACAUAGGGAUUUCACUACCAUUAUUUUUUAAACUAUUCUACAUAACUUUCAUUGAUUUGUUAUUAGUGGUACGGUUGGCAAGUGGGACAAAAUUCUGUUGACAUAAAUAGCAAUGUCCCAAACAGCGCCCCUUAUACAAUGGGGCUUUCGAUGAUAUAUAUUUGUCGCGGUUUUGAGCCGACUGUGGUAAUCAGACGAGUUCUUUCGAUCUGAACUGUCCACCCCAAAUGAUAUCACUGCGACUACUGAUGUUGCGUAGAAAUUGAGUGAACAUGACAUUUUGAUUGUAUUUAUGAAUGCAGCUCUGAAGUGAAUCACAACCAGCACAGCGAGAAAGAUGUUUAGAAUAUGCUAUGGCUUCUGUAUUUUUCUACAUAGGCCUGUAACAGUACAUAACAUAUUUUUUUUAUAAGUAGGCCUAUGUAGAAUGCGUUAGAACCAUAUUUUUUUUAUUUUUUUUUUAUAAAACUUUAUAAUUCCCUUGUUUAUCGGAGGCCCCAAACAAAGACAUAAAUUAUUCUACUUUACACCAAAUAUUUCCACACCCGAGGAUGACUGGCAUCUGAUACCUAUGUAAGCUUAGGUUUAUAAUAAAUCGUUUAAAAAUAAAAAUGCACCGUAUAUAAAAUCUAUUUUGACAAUAACAUGGAAACUCGUAAUAGUGACUAUACUGUUAGUCAAAUCAUAGUCAAAUGAACAAUUUUUAAACCACUUUAUCCUGUUUUGUUUCUUGUAGCGAAGUCUCUGUUAAGAUUCUGCAUCAUACUUGUCUGGCGUCCAAUACUUCCUUCAUAACCUUCUGAGUAGGCUUACAUGGUAGUCUGUGGGGCAGUGGCGUAUCUAGUGGGUGUUCGGGGGAGCACGCCCACCCCUCCCCACCAAAAAAGGAAGCUCGCGCCCCAGUCGCCUAGCACCCCCUAACAUAAUCAGACCCCCUCCCUCCAUUUUCAUUACUUUUGUGAGAACUAAAUGGUGUUUCUGGUUCCAUUGUUCGAUUCAUAUUUAAAGAGGUCUGGGACGCGAAAGAGUGGUGGUUGAUAUUCCUUCAGAGUGUUUGCAUUUUGUUUAAAAACAUUAACAAACAUUAUUUGUUGUAACUGUUUUUAACUGAGUGUCUAUGAAAUGACAGUACCUUGCGGUAAUAUGGGUUUUCUAACAGAAAAAGAAAACAAACCGGUUGGACUUGGUUCGGUAAAAUAAAAAGUAGUAAACACAGAGUACGGUAUGUCUAAACUCAAUUUCAACAUCCUAUGUAAUACUAAAUGAUAGUUGUUCAACGAAAUUUAAGUGCUCUGUGUGAGCGUGUUCCAUCGCAAGGCCGGUCCACUGGCCGUCGGUGGGAGUCUUAUCUGAGAUGAUCGUCGUUUUGAACGAUACAUUCGUGAAGACGAACGAAACACUGCGCGUCGUUGCGCCGAGUAUGGUACCGGUAUGCGUCGACUUCCUCACUUUCCACAGUAUGCAGUCUUAUUUUGCUUAUUCUUUUAAUGAACAGUAAAGUGGCAGCAUCAUCGGCUCUAUUAGGCCUAUGUCCUAUGUUAUGAAAUUAAUUUUUAUAAUUAAUGUGGGUGUUAAAUCCGAUACGAAUAACAGACUGAUCAAUAAUAUCUUCUACAGGCUAACUGACGAUGAUCAGAAGUGCAGCCCUGUUUACGUUGGUGAAUACAUUCUUCCUCAGCCAGUUGCAAACAGUUAACGCCAGCGCUGAUGUUAUCAGAGUCCGUAGUUGCCGUGUAGCAGAUAUUCAGGUUCAGCAGAACUUUGACUUGGAUCAGUGCAAAGGUGUGACGUAGAAAAUGUACGACGUCGUGGGCUACCUCAAAAACAAGUGUCUAACUAUACAUUGGAUGGUGAUCAUGGGCUUUACAUGCUAAGCGACGGAAUUAGUGUUUUUAACAAAUGUAUGGAUGUGACCGUGAAUGGAGUUGCUACGACCAACGGUGCUCAAUGGACGGUCACAUUUGACCCAGUUGGUGACGGUGAAAGUAGAACUG